rnacentral:lncRNA from 10 species
CUUUCCUGUGCUCUCAAGGGAGACGAACUGGGCCUGCCCUCCAGGUUUUGUCUCUUGAACUCCUGGAAUAUUUUUCUCCCCUCUAAGGGAGAAGAGCAGCUGCAGUUCUAUCUAUCCCUCCAGGUCUCAACCCUGCUCUUGCCAUAACAUGGAUGCCCAUGGAUGGAUCCUCCCUUUAACAGCCCCCUUCCUUUCUUUCUCCAGAAAACAUGUUGGAAUACAAUUGACCAAGAGUAGGAUGAUUCUAAGGAUGACUUUGGUGCGGCUUUGAUUCAGCUUAAAAGUAAAUUACUUGCAAAUAUUGACAUUUUAACCACCACUAAUAACUUAUGACUAGCAUUCUCCUCACAAGGAAUAAGCCCACUCCCUGUAGUUGAGACUAAAGGGCUCUCAAGUUCAGCUAAAGUACAAGCAGGGUUCCCACAGGUCACCCAAAUGGGCAAAAGGCCUGGGUGGGAACUGUAACUAGCCUGCAGGGGGCCAAAGUCUACUUUCCUCCAGUUCAUUGCCAGUGUUGACUGCCCAGAUAUGACCCAUCUUCUGAGUUUUCCACAAAAGCUGGAAAUCUAGAUUUUCAGGGAAAUCUGCUUUAUAAAUGUUGAUGACUAAUUAAAAAUCUUCAAAAAUGCUGGGCAUGACAAACAAAAUACAACUGUAAUCUGAGUUUGGCCUAUGGGCAGAUAUCCAGCCAACUCUGCUCUCCGACCUCUGAGUCUGGGCAUUCCCAAGAUGGCCUCAUCGCAGCCCUUGCAGCUCUGUGUGUCUACCUGAGAUCCCACCCAGCUUCCCAGGUAUGUUUAAUGGCCCAGAAUGUGAACUAUCUUGGUGAAUAUUACAUCAGGACUUGAGAAGAA